rnacentral:rRNA from 1 species
UACGAAGGGUGCAAGCGUUACUCGGAAUUACUGGGCGUAAAGCGUGCGUAGGUGGUCGUUUAAGUCUGUUGUGAAAGCCCUGGGCUCAACCUGGGAACUGCAGUGGAAACUGGACGACUAGAGUGUGGUAGAGGGUAGCGGAAUUCCCGGUGUAGCAGUGAAAUGCGUAGAGAUCCGGAGGAAGACCGGUGGCGAAGGCGGUCUGCUGGGCAGUUUCUGACACUGAUGCGCGACAGCGUGGGGAGCAAACAGG